CUACUUAAGCAUAUUCUCUGCAUCUGUAUUUAUUUAAAAAUGCUUUUGCAACCUGACACUGUUCAGCUUUUUUAUCUUUUACCAGUAUUUGGGGACUUAUUGGGGAUUCCUUUGAUAAUUUCAGGAAGAAAGAAGUGGAAUGGAAGGAGCCAGUAACUGUCCCAGGUCAGAAAACGCCUCUGAAAAGGAUCUACAUUACACCCAAAGUUCAUUGGAUAACUGCACCCUCAACAAUCAGGAGACAAUAAGUGGUGUAGACAGAGCUAAUAUCUUCCCCAAAUCAGAUGGUACCUCUGAAGACAUUCAGCAUUCCACAGACUGUUCACAGGUUGAGACUUUCCACAUUCAGGAGACAAUAAGUGGUACGAACCAAGCCAGUAACUGCCCCAAAUCAGAUGGUGCCUCUGAAGACAAUCAGCAUUGCACAGACAGUUCACAGCAUGACAGUAUCUUCCACAUUCAGGAGACAAUAAAGGGUAUGAACCAAGCCAGUAACUGCCCCAAAUCAGAUGGUGCCUCUGAAGACAAUCAGCAUUGCACAGACAGUCCACAGCAUGACAGUAUCUUCCACAUUCAGGAGACAAUAAAGGGUAUGAACCAAGCCAGUAACUGCCCCAAAUCAGAUGGUGCCUCUGAAGACAAUCAGCAUUGCACAGACAGUCCACAGCAUGACAGUAUCUUCCACAUUCAGGAGACAAUAAAGGGUAUGAACCAAGCCAGUAACUGCCCCAAAUCAGAUGGUGCCUCUGAAGACAAUCAGCAUUGCACAGACAGUCCACAGCAUGACAGUAUCUUCCACAUUCAGGAGACAAUAAAGGGUAUGAACCAAGCCAGUAACUGCCCCAAAUCAGAUGGUGCCUCUGAAGACAAUCAGCAUUGCACAGACAGUCCACAGCAUGACAGUAUCUUCCACAUUCAGGAGACAAUAAAGGGUAUGAACCAAGCCAGUAACUGCCCCAAAUCAGAUGGUGCCUCUGAAGACAAUCAGCAUUGCACAGACAGUUCACAGCAUGACAGUAUCUUCCACAUUCAGGAGACAAUAAAGGGUACGAACCAAGCCAGUAACUGCCCCAAAUCAGAUGGUGCCUCUGAAGACAAUCAGCAUUGCACAGACAGUUCACAGCAUGACAGUAUCUUCCACAUUCAGGAGACAAUAAAGGGUAUGAACCAAGCCAGUAACUGCCCCAAAUCAGAUGGUGCCUCUGAAGACAAUCAGCAUUGCACAGACAGUCCACAGCAUGACAGUAUCUUCCACAUUCAGUGGCUCUUGAUGUAGAACCACCCAUAGAUCCUUCUGCAAAAGAAGUCCAGAAAUCUUCAAUUGAACAAGCAACAGAAAUAACAAGUACCACAACUACCAUGAAAGGUACUGUUUGUUAAACUUCAUAGAAAGCCUUUAUGAACUUAAAAAUCUCUGUUUUUUCUGAUGUGCUUUGUUCAUUCAGGUCGAAAGGUGGUAAAGAAAAAGAAAUGGGACAGUGAUGAAAUGAAUGCAGUUGAAAAGCAUCUAAACAGGUUCAUCAAAACUUGUACAGUGCCAGGAAAACAACAAUGUGAGGCCUGUAUAAAUGCUGAACCUGUUGCCUUGAAAGACAGGGAUUGGUUGUCUGUAAAGUUCUUUGUGAAGAACAAAAUCACUACCCUUAAAAGAAGAAUGUAAAGUCAGUUAUUUUAUUUUGUUUGGUAUCUUAUUUUCUGGUAUUUUAGAUUUCUGGUUAUUACAUUUGUUUUAAAAGGAUCUUAGAAUCUCUUUUUUUUUUUUUUGGAAAUGGGUGCAAUUCAGUAAAGUGUCUUUGAAUCGAAUGUAAAUAUGUACAGAAUACUGUUCAGAAUGCUACAUAAAAAUAGCAAAAAAAAAUAAAUAUUUUAUUCAUGUUAUUAAAUUUUGAUCU
ensembl:lncRNA